rnacentral:tRNA from 1 species
UCUAAGGUAAGCUAACAUUUAAAAGCUGUUGGGCUCAUAACCCAAAAAUGAUAAAAAAAUCCCAUAGAA